ensembl:lncRNA AABR07044001.2
CCUGGGGGGAUGGCCAGCUACAUGGUGCCCUCUCCCCCCCACCCCCACCCCACCAGCAGUCCCUUCCACCAAAGCAAUUCAUCAUCAGACCUCCAGGGCAGACAGCACAACUCCCAAGCCUUCAAGCUGACAGCCACAGGCAAAUGAAGACAGCUGGUUCUCACCUUCUAUGCGGCCCUUGGUCCCCAUUGCCCUGUGAGACUCUGCUUCUGACAAAGGGUCAGAAAGAUCCAUCCCUGAGAGGAAAAGAAGGGAAGACACCCUACCCCACGCCCCUGGAACUCACACCCCAGUGUGGAGGAUCACACGCAGACACACACAGCAGGACGACAGGAACCCAGCUGGUUUCAAAGACAAGCCAUGUGCAGGAGCUGAGGGCUGACAGGACAAUGGUGAACCCAGUGCCGUCAGCAAAGUCUGCCGUCAGACACAGGAAAUGGCACAGGGGCUGUCCAGCGGAGAAGCCACCAGGCCAGUCUGUUGCAGCAAUCGAAUGUUUAUGUUUAAACUGGACGUCAU